UCCUUCUAAGGGUUGAAUCAAACGAAACAUUUAACUUUUGCAAUAUGUAUUAGACUUGCACAGUUAUUAAUAUGGCUAUAUUUGCUGGGUUUUCUUCUUGUGCUUAACAUUGUUGGUAUUUUGUCUUCCCUUUUCCUGUACAAAUAUAAUCAAUAGAUUAUUUAUUCAAGUCCCACCCCAAAAUAUGGCGAUACUAAUGAACAUGCAUAUUCAUACAUUCAAACUGCUGUCAGGAUCAAAGAUGACGGUCCUGAAUUUCAAGCAGUAUGUAAUGUUCAGCUUCUUACAGAAGUGGAAUGAGGCCUUGUGUCUACACUGCGAUGAUAUUCAUUUGCUGUGAAAACAUCUGACAGGCAUUCACCUUGUUUAUUUUAAGAAUUUAAAUUUCAUGCCAAGCCAGAGGAGACAGGGAGGAUCCUGAUUUGUGCUCUCUCUCCCCCAUUAGUACAAAAGCAUAAAAACUAGGUUCCCAAUUCAGGCUGGUAAAGUCAUAAACUUAAACUGUAAGCCUAAAGUAAUCAUAGAAUAUCUCAAGUUGAAAGGGACCCAUCCUUAUAAUUCACUUUCUAUGAUUAUCUAGUUUGUUGUAAAAAUAUGUUCUACUGCUGCACAAAUUGUCAUUCAAGCUCAGCUUAACAAAGUGGUCACGACACAUCAUGUGAAUGAAGAAGAAGGACCUGUGACUUCUAAGAGAUGAAGCACUUCACAAGACAGAAGACCUCUCACUUCAGGUUCACAGUGGUAGGGGAGAAGGAUGAACAAAGAGAAGAAGCUGUCUCUUUUUUAUUCAGAUCUCUCAGGGAGUGGGGGUGGGCAGGAAGCCCCAACUAGAAGUUCCAAGUUCAAUUUGUAUUUUCUGCUGAGCAUGUGCAUUGUGUCUCUUGUGGUGUGGAAAGAGAACCAUGCUGCUGGUUCAGGGAGCAGAGCUAGGUGGGUUUAGUGGCAAAAUGUUAUGCUGUAUGUUAAGUUACACAGAAGUCCAAAGCAGAAGAGAUUGUUAUCCAUAGCUGAUGGGUUUUUGGAGCAAUCAAAAUAACUGCUUCUAUCAAAGCAAUAUUCUGAUUUAUGAGAGCCCUGUCAUGAUUCCUGUAUACAUUCCUGCAUGCCCUGGGGUGAGAAGGAAAUCUCCAUUCACAGAGAAAGCAUGGAAGUUCAAGACUUGCAGGAUGAUCGAGGCACCACCUUUCUCCAAAAAAAAAAUCUGACAUGUAUAGCCUUGCUGCAUGUACCUGUGUUAUAUAGUUUGGAAAGGAGAGCAGAUGGAUGGUCUCAGUACUGGCUCAUUCUGUAUAACUGUGAAUUAAUCCAGUUCAUUCUCAUGACUACUAGCCAUUAAAGCAAACUUUUUAUGUUUGCUACUUACCACCUAACUUCUUAAGUAAAAAUCUCUCGAAGAGUAAAACAUGGCUAACUGAUGCUCUCUGACAUCUGUACUUGUUCUGAGUACUACCUUAAUUCAUUCCUGACAGCGUUGUGCUCAAUGCUGCAUUUGACCCUGUUAACGGCAAUUUAUGGAGCUUUUGAACUAUGAGGACAGUGUCUUGAAACUGCUUUCAAAGUACACAAAUUCACAUUUAUCAGGCUUGGUCUGCGCCUUUUCUGCUUUUAUGUAUGGAAGAAUUAUGAUCAUCACCUUGAACUGUGUUGAUAGCAGCUGGGGGAAGUUACUGCUUUGAUUUUAUUAACAAAGAUGAUUAUGAACAGCAGAAGUUAAGAAACAUAAAUACAUAGUUAUAUAUAAUGAUUUUGUAAAGCAACCGAGCAUCUUCAGAUGCAAGCAUGUUAAAUACAGACCCUACUUAGGCAAGCCAGGAGUUACCAUCUGGUGAUGGUAACAGAGUUCAGUCUGUGGCCCAGUAAUUAACAGUCAAACCUCCAAUAACUCAGCCGGUCAAAAGUCAAGACAAGCCAGCAGAGCAAGGUCAUGAUCUGUGUAUUGCAAUCUUGGAUGCAGCCAACCUUCCACAGCUCACAAGAAAGGUCUAAGGGCAGGGGCCCAAGCCUAAGCCCAGCUUCCAGCCCAUGGGCAGAAGCUGUGGAGACCCCCAGGUACAAAUUUUCACAGCUCUUUCUCCCCCCGAACUGUUUUCAAAGAAGCCCCAUCCAAGGUUACACAGCUGUGCUAUAUUAGUGUUCAUCUUGAAAAUAGGCAGCUAAAGCCUGGAGAAGGUGGGAAGGAUUAUAGGGGAAGUAACUACCCUGUUGGAGGGAGUCUUCAUAAUCACUUUAGGGAGGGAGGUGGUUACAGGCUGGUGGGGGCAGCUUGGUUUGGUUUAAUUGUAUUAAUGCAUUCAGUGCUCUGGCAAGACUGCACUACUGAAGUUGAAAGUUAAGGCAAGUAGACUUAGGUAGAACUAAGAUGUUUAGCAGCUGGAGGAGCUCUGCUGAAAUUAAAAACGAGUGAAGUUGGAUCAGGAACAAUCAUUCCACUGAGAAGUACUGCCUCCGAAAUAAUCUCACAAUGCAAG